GCCGAAGUGGUGGAACUGGUAGACACGCCAUCUUGAGGGGGUGGUGGGCCAUGCCCGUGGGGGUUCGAGUCCCCCCUUCGGCACCA
rnacentral:tRNA from 7 species